UCACUGGAAACGGACUCUUGUGGGGAAAAAGGGGGUGUAUGUAUUUAACAUCAUCAUCACCUAUUUGGAAGUGACUUGAAACACACCAUCUAAUAUUCUCAAGAAGAACCCUAGCCCAUUUACCACCCCGACAAUUCAGUCUGGCGCUCAGACACCCCCGAAUCCGUUCCUUUGAACCCAAAAAAGAAGCGUUUAGAUCUUCCACCGGGAAGGAAAUAGCUGUUUGAGCGUAGAGUUGCUCCAAUCAAAUCAACUCAUCAAGUGUGCGACUAGCUGAGCUAAGGAUGAUGCCUCUUUCCUCUUCACCCAAGAUGAGGGCACUGACCAUAGGAAGUUUCAUAUUGGGUAUCACCCUAUAUGGUGUUGGUUUGUAUUACGCAUUUGUCAACAUUGAUACUCAACAAGAACUAACCAAUCCUCGAAAGGAAGCUGUCAAAGAAUGGCUGAGAAAGAGAAAGACAAAGGAUGAAUGACAGAAGCAUGCUUUCCAUCUAGGGGAACUAAUGCAUUUGCACAUGUGGAGCUUGCAAUAUUUGGGUAGGAUUUGUGCUAAGUAUGGAGCUUGACCUGCAUGAUGUAUUUAGUGUCAAGGCAUAUGAGCACUGGCAGAGCCACCAUAUGCUCAGAGGAGGAAGUGCCCCCCAGACCUCCCCCCCCCCCCCCCCCCCCACCCCCAUAGUUUGAAUUGUGUUGCAAAAAGGGCUUAAACUCCAAGCCAAAUUUGCAUCUUGAUAACACAUCCCCCAUCCGGGCCCAAAAAACAAUUGCUUCUUACAUUUCUGGCUCCGCCGCUGCAUAUGAGAAGUUCUAAUGUGAAAUUAUAGCUCUUGCUGAAAGGAUAAAAAGGAAAGGUCACCAGAAACACUUAUCCCUGCUUAAUAUAAUGCAUAUAGUGGUUAUAGUUUUAAAAUUACUGAUUAUAACUUAAAUAAAACAGAUUUGUAGUUGUUGAAGACGGUAUUCUGCCUAGUUUUCUGCCAUUCUAUUGGAUAAAAACUUGUUUGAUGGUUGGUGUUUGAUCAGAUCACUUGGAGAUAUGGCAAAGGUAGCACUUGCAAUGUGGCAAAGAAGCAAUGCUUUGGACAUCCAGCCGAGAAGUUAGGUGUAUGUUCUCAUGUAAUCUUCCUCAAGUGAGAAUCAUGUGUAAUAACUAAUAACCCGGAAGAAAGGCAUGAUUCUUAUAAUAUGGUAGUGCUAGUUUUCCUUGGGAUUUUCCCUGGUGUUGUUUACAGUUUGCUUGAAGGGUGUUGUGACCGAUUAGAGAUGAAAGAUAAAUUAGUGCUCAAGCAGCAGGCCUGCAACUUUUUGGUUCCCAGAUAUGAGUCCUACAACACUGGACUGGAAGCCUAUUUCCAGUUAGUUAUGACUAGUGAAACAAAAGGGUGGAUAUUCUUAAGAUGACCAAUUGCUUAAUAGAUUGAAUUAAAUGUAUUUAAUUUGAAAUAUAAUUAAAGGUUUAUUAAUAAUUUCUCUUUUUUUAAAAAAAAUAAUAUAAAAAAAUUGUCUUUCCACCUUGGGAAAUUAAUUUAUCAAUAUUUAAAUAUUUUUAAUAAGAGUGACCAUUUUUUAAUGAGUAAUUUUUUUUAAUAGAUGGAAAUUAUUUUUCUGGUUAUUAUUAUUUAUUACCCCCAUGCCUUUAAAUGAAAUAUUUCUAUUGAAUCACAAGCCGACAUCCGUCACCUGUAUAUUUCCCAACCUGAGCUGCUCCGCGCCCUCUCCCCCUGCUCUUCUCUCCAGAUCUUCGGUUCAACCUAUAAAGCACUGGGUUUUGUCUUUUAAUUUAAGUUCUUCAAUCAGAUUACUUCGUCAAUUGUGUAACUAGCUAAGAUAAUGGUCACUUGCUAUCCUUCAACGCCUCUGAAGAAGGCAGUACAUGUAGGGUGCUUCCUUUUUGGCGCCACCCUUAUGUGUAUUGGUGGGUAUCUCUCCUUUGCCAACAUUGAGCGUCAACAAGCUCUAAUCAAGGCUCGAAAUGAUUUUGUCCGAGAACGACUGAAACGGAGAUCUGGCAAAUAAUAAAGAUGUUUAUAUAUAUAUAUAUAGUUGUCUAUCAAAAUAUUUAAUAUUUCAAAAAACUUGUGCUGGCCAUUGGAAUAAUUGAGAGAAAUUUCCGAAGAAUGUGUGAUGGGAUGAAGUUGCAAAACAAGUUAGAAAUUUGAAUUUUUUUCCAGGUUUUUUCAAAUUUGGGUCAUUCAUUUUUAUCUCUUCUUAAGAAGCACAACUAUUUUUUUUUUUAUAUAGGAAGAAUUUUAGCACAACUAUAUCCUCUGUUAGGCUCUGAAAAGAUUGUAGCAAUUUCUGGAGAAUUAAUGCAUGUUAAUUAGAUUA